UCGCUAUUGCAUAAAGCGUUACCACAGCUUUAUUUUAGCUAGUUCGACAUCAUCUACUUCAUCAACUUACAUUCUUUUCACCUACAUUAUAUCAAAUAAACAUUCAGUCGUCAUAGCUCUAGACAAUCGCUAGUUAAAGCUAUAUUUGCGUUCUGUGAGUUAAAGUGCGUCCUUUCCGGAUUUAGAAUUUGUCCAUCGUCCAUUUUCAUCGUCAGUGAAAACAAAUUGCAGGCGAAUUUGGUAAAUCGAUAAUUUGCAUCGAACACUGCUUGAAGAAUGGCUGAACAGAAUUUCUUAUAAUUAAGGAACAUACUUCCUCAAUGGCUGGGAGUCUUUCAUAAUUGAAGUACAAAAUAGUUAUUUAAGUAUUGCAAAAGGCCUAAACCAAAGAAAAAUAUUUCGAAAGCAAGUGAAAAAAAUUCCGAUAAGACGGUCGGGAGAUAUUGAAAGUAAAUCCCGUUGGCCCCAUUUUAAAAGUUUGCUUGAAAGUUGAAAGAAAAUUGAAAGUUACGGGUCGAUUCUCAGGAUGAAUUUUGAUGAUGAAAACAAUGCAGGAUACCGUAACGUUGAGCCUGAAUCCCGAACAGUAGAAAAAUUGGAGUUCAUGACAACAAAGAGAGCAAAUACAGAGGAAACCAAAAAUGUUUAUCUGGCAUUUUUAAAUGAUUAACUCUAAAAAAUUAAAUUUUUCAAUUUAGGAAUAGGGAUCGAGAUGUAAUUUAGAUGCUUACGGCUAAUAAAAACGUAAAAGAACAUCAA